rnacentral:rRNA from 1 species
UUAAGCGACUAAGUGUACACGGUGGAUGCCCUGGCAGUCAGAGGCGAUGAAGGACGUGCUAAUCUGCGAUAAGCGUCGGUAAGGUGAUAUGAACCGUUAUAACCGGCGAUUUCCGAAUGGGGAAACCCAGUGUGUUUCGACACACUAUCAUUAACUGAAUCCAUAGGUUAAUGAGGCGAACCGGGGGAACUGAAACAUCUAAGUACCCCGAGGAAAAGAAAUCAACCGAGAUUCCCCCAGUAGCGGCGAGCGAACGGGGAGGAGCCCAGAGCCUGAAUCAGUGUGUGUGUUAGUGGAAGCGUCUGGAAAGGCGCGCGAUACAGGGUGACAGCCCCGUACACAAAAAUACACAUAUUGUGAGCUCGAUGAGUAGGGCGGGACACGUGGUAUCCUGUCUGAAUAUGGGGGGACCAUCCUCCAAGGCUAAAUACUCCUGACUGACCGAUAGUGAACCAGUACCGUGAGGGAAAGGCGAAAAGAACCCCGGCGAGGGGAGUGAAAAAGAACCUGAAACCGUGUACGUACAAGCAGUGGGAGCACGCUUAGGCGUGUGACUGCGUACCUUUUGUAUAAUGGGUCAGCGACUUAUAUUCUGUAGCAAGGUUAACCGAAUAGGGGAGCCGAAGGGAAACCGAGUCUUAACUGGGCGUUAAGUUGCAGGGUAUAGACCCGAAACCCGGUGAUCUAGCCAUGGGCAGGUUGAAGGUUGGGUAACACUAACUGGAGGACCGAACCGACUAAUGUUGAAAAAUUAGCGGAUGACUUGUGGCUGGGGGUGAAAGGCCAAUCAAACCGGGAGAUAGCUGGUUCUCCCCGAAAGCUAUUUAGGUAGCGCCUCGUGAAUUCAUCUCCGGGGGUAGAGCACUGUUUCGGCAAGGGGGUCAUCCCGACUUACCAACCCGAUGCAAACUGCGAAUACCGGAGAAUGUUAUCACGGGAGACACACGGCGGGUGCUAACGUCCGUCGUGAAGAGGGAAACAACCCAGACCGCCAGCUAAGGUCCCAAAGUCAUGGUUAAGUGGGAAACGAUGUGGGAAGGCCCAGACAGCCAGGAUGUUGGCUUAGAAGCAGCCAUCAUUUAAAGAAAGCGUAAUAGCUCACUGGUCGAGUCGGCCUGCGCGGAAGAUGUAACGGGGCUAAACCAUGCACCGAAGCUGCGGCAGCGACGCUUAUGCGUUGUUGGGUAGGGGAGCGUUCUGUAAGCCUGCGAAGGUGUGCUGUGAGGCAUGCUGGAGGUAUCAGAAGUGCGAAUGCUGACAUAAGUAACGAUAAAGCGGGUGAAAAGCCCGCUCGCCGGAAGACCAAGGGUUCCUGUCCAACGUUAAUCGGGGCAGGGUGAGUCGACCCCUAAGGCGAGGCCGAAAGGCGUAGUCGAUGGGAAACAGGUUAAUAUUCCUGUACUUGGUGUUACUGCGAAGGGGGGACGGAGAAGGCUAUGUUGGCCGGGCGACGGUUGUCCCGGUUUAAGCGUGUAGGCUGGUUUUCCAGGCAAAUCCGGAAAAUCAAGGCUGAGGCGUGAUGACGAGGCACUACGGUGCUGAAGCAACAAAUGCCCUGCUUCCAGGAAAAGCCUCUAAGCAUCAGGUAACAUCAAAUCGUACCCCAAACCGACACAGGUGGUCAGGUAGAGAAUACCAAGGCGCUUGAGAGAACUCGGGUGAAGGAACUAGGCAAAAUGGUGCCGUAACUUCGGGAGAAGGCACGCUGAUAUGUAGGUGAAGUCCCUUGCGGAUGGAGCUGAAAUCAGUCGAAGAUACCAGCUGGCUGCAACUGUUUAUUAAAAACACAGCACUGUGCAAACACGAAAGUGGACGUAUACGGUGUGACGCCUGCCCGGUGCCGGAAGGUUAAUUGAUGGGGUCAGCGCAAGCGAAGCUCUUGAUCGAAGCCCCGGUAAACGGCGGCCGUAACUAUAACGGUCCUAAGGUAGCGAAAUUCCUUGUCGGGUAAGUUCCGACCUGCACGAAUGGCGUAAUGAUGGCCAGGCUGUCUCCACCCGAGACUCAGUGAAAUUGAACUCGCUGUGAAGAUGCAGUGUACCCGCGGCAAGACGGAAAGACCCCGUGAACCUUUACUAUAGCUUGACACUGAACAUUGAGCCUUGAUGUGUAGGAUAGGUGGGAGGCUUUGAAGUGUGGACGCCAGUCUGCAUGGAGCCGGCCUUGAAAUACCACCCUUUAAUGUUUGAUGUUCUAACGUGGACCCGUGAUCCGGGUUGCGGACAGUGUCUGGUGGGUAGUUUGACUGGGGCGGUCUCCUCCUAAAGAGUAACGGAGGAGCACGAAGGUUGGCUAAUCCUGGUCGGACAUCAGGAGGUUAGUGCAAUGGCAUAAGCCAGCUUGACUGCGAGCGUGACGGCGCGAGCAGGUGCGAAAGCAGGUCAUAGUGAUCCGGUGGUUCUGAAUGGAAGGGCCAUCGCUCAACGGAUAAAAGGUACUCCGGGGAUAACAGGCUGAUACCGCCCAAGAGUUCAUAUCGACGGCGGUGUUUGGCACCUCGAUGUCGGCUCAUCACAUCCUGGGGCUGAAGUAGGUCCCAAGGGUAUGGCUGUUCGCCAUUUAAAGUGGUACGCGAGCUGGGUUUAGAACGUCGUGAGACAGUUCGGUCCCUAUCUGCCGUGGGCGCUGGAGAACUGAGGGGGGCUGCUCCUAGUACGAGAGGACCGGAGUGGACGCAUCACUGGUGUUCGGGUUGUCAUGCCAAUGGCACUGCCCGGUAGCUAAAUGCGGAAGAGAUAAGUGCUGAAAGCAUCUAAGCACGAAACUUGCCCCGAGAUGAGUUCUCCCUGACCCUUUAAGGGUCCUGAAGGAACGUUGAAGACGACGACGUUGAUAGGCCGGGUGUGUAAGCGCAGCGAUGCGUUGAGCUAACCGGUACUAAUGAACCGUGAGGCUUAACCUU